rnacentral:rRNA from 1 species
ACGAACGCUGGCGGCGUGCCUAAAACAUGCAAGUCGAACGGUGUAGCAAUACACAGUGGCGAACGGCGGAGUAAGUACAUAACCAACGUGCCCUGAAGAUCGGGAUAGUCGCGGGAAACUGCGGGUAAUACCGGAUGUGGCUCUCACUCGGCAUCGAGAGAGAAUUAAAUGGUUUUUCGCUUCAGGAGCGGGUUAUGGCCUAUCAGCUUGUUGGCGGGGUGGGUAACGGCCCACCAAGGCGAACGACGGGUAGGGGGUCUGAGAGGAUGAUCCCCCCGAGUGGGACUGAGACACGGCCCACACACCUACGGGUGGCAGCAGUUGGGAAUCUUGCACAAUGGGGGCAACCCUGAUGCAGCGACGCCGCGUGGAGGAUGAAGGAUCUAGGUCUGUAAACUCCUUUUGUCAGGAAAGACUUAGGACGGUACCUGACGAAUAAGGACCGGCUAACUACGUGCCAGCAGCCGCGGUAAGACGUAGGGUCCAAGCGUUGUCCGGAUUUACUGGGCGUAAAGAGCGCGUAGGCGGCCUAUUAAGUGUGAAGUGAAAUCUCCAGAGCUCAACUCGGAAAUUGCUUUGCAAACUGAUAGGCCUCGAGGGAUGCAGAGGCAACUAGAAUUCCCGGUGUAGCGGUGACAUGCAUUGAUAUCGGGAGGAAUACCCAUGGCGAAGGCAGGUUGCUGGGCAUUACCUGACGCUGAGGCGCGAAAGCGUGGGUAGCAAACAGGAUUAGAUACCCUGGUAGUCCACGCCCUAAACGAUGGAUACUAGGCGUAAGAGGUAUCGACCCCUCUUGUGCCGCAGCUAACGCAAUAAGUAUCCCGCCUGGGGACUACGGCCGCAAGGUUGAAACUCAAAUGAAUUGACGGGGACCCGCACAAGCGGUGGAGCAUGUGAUUAAUUCGAUACUAACCGAAGAACCUUACCCAGGCUUGACAUCGAUCGUAAGCCCCUGAAAGGGGGCCCUCUCCCACAAGGAGACGUGAAGACACUUGUUGCAUGGCUGUCGUCAGCUCGUGCCGUGAGGUGUUUGGUUAAGUCCAGCAACGAGCGCAACCCUCGUCCCAUGUUGCCAACGGGUAAAGCCGGGAACUCAUGGGAGACCGCCGUCGUAAGUCGGAGGAAGGUGGGGAUGACGUCAAGUCAGCAUGGCAGUUACGCUUGGGGCUUCACACAUGCUACAAUGGGCGCAACAAAGGGCAGCAAAGCCGCGAGGCGGAGCAAAUCCCAAAAUACGCCCUCAGUUCAGAUAGUAGUCUGCAACUCGACUACUUGAAGGCGGAAUCGCUAGUAAACGCAGGUCAGCUAUACUGCGUUGAAUACGUUCCCGGGUCUUGUACACACCGCCCGUCAAGUCACCCGAAUUGUCUGCACCCGAAGUCCGUGGCCCAACCGCAAGGAGGGAGCGGCCGAAGGUGCGGGGAGUAAGGGGGACU